CAGGCUUAACACAUGCAAGUCGAGGGGCAGCAUGGUCUUAGCUUGCUAAGACUGAUGGCGACCGGCGCACGGGUGAGUAACACGUAUCCAACCUGCCGUCUACUCUUGGACAGCCUUCUGAAAGGAAGAUUAAUACAAGAUGGCAUCAUGAGUCCGCAUGUUCACAUGAUUAAAGGUAUUCCGGUAGACGAUGGGGAUGCGUUCCAUUAGAUAGUAGGCGGGGUAACGGCCCACCUAGUCUUCGAUGGAUAGGGGUUCUGAGAGGAAGGUCCCCCACAUUGGAACUGAGACACGGUCCAAACUCCUACGGGAGGCAGCAGUGAGGAAUAUUGGUCAAUGGGCGAGAGCCUGAACCAGCCAAGUAGCGUGAAGGAUGACUGCCCUAUGGGUUGUAAACUUCUUUUAUAAAGGAAUAAAGUCGGGUAUGCAUACCCGUUUGCAUGUACUUUAUGAAUAAGGAUCGGCUAACUCCGUGCCAGCAGCCGCGGUAAUACGGAGGAUCCGAGCGUUAUCCGGAUUUAUUGGGUUUAAAGGGAGCGUAGAUGGAUGUUUAAGUCAGUUGUGAAAGUUUGCGGCUCAACCGUAAAAUUGCAGUUGAUACUGGAUAUCUUGAGUGCAGUUGAGGCAGGCGGAAUUCGUGGUGUAGCGGUGAAAUGCUUAGAUAUCACGAAGAACUCCGAUUGCGAAGGCAGCCUGCUAAGCUGCAACUGACAUUGAGGCUCGAAAGUGUGGGUAUCAAACAGGAUUAGAUACCCUGGUAGUCCACACGGUAAACGAUGAAUACUCGCUGUUUGCGAUAUACUGCAAGCGGCCAAGCGAAAGCGUUAAGUAUUCCACCUGGGGAGUACGCCGGCAACGGUGAAACUCAAAGGAAUUGACGGGGGCCCGCACAAGCGGAGGAACAUGUGGUUUAAUUCGAUGAUACGCGAGGAACCUUACCCGGGCUUAAAUUGCAGAUGAAUUACGGUGAAAGCCGUAAGCCGCAAGGCAUCUGUGAAGGUGCUGCAUGGUUGUCGUCAGCUCGUGCCGUGAGGUGUCGGCUUAAGUGCCAUAACGAGCGCAACCCUUGUUGUCAGUUACUAACAGGUUCCGCUGAGGACUCUGACAAGACUGCCAUCGUAAGAUGUGAGGAAGGUGGGGAUGACGUCAAAUCAGCACGGCCCUUACGUCCGGGGCUACACACGUGUUACAAUGGGGGGUACAGAGGGCCGCUACCACGCGAGUGGAUGCCAAUCCCCAAAACCUCUCUCAGUUCGGACUGGAGUCUGCAACCCGACUCCACGAAGCUGGAUUCGCUAGUAAUCGCGCAUCAGCCACGGCGCGGUGAAUAUGUUCCCGGGCCUUGUACACACCGCCCGUCAAGCCAUGGGAGCCGGGGGUACCUGAAGUGCGUAACCGCGAGGAGCGCCCUAGGGUAAAACUGGUGACUGGGGCUA
rnacentral:rRNA from 1 species